CACAUAUUGUGAGCUCGAUGAGUAGGGCGGGACACGUGGUAUCCUGUCUGAAUAUGGGGGGCCCAUCCUCCAAGGCUAAAUACUCCUGACUGACCGAUAGUGAACCAGUACCGUGAGGGAAAGGCGAAAAGAACCCCGGCGAGGGGAGUGAAAAAGAACCUGAAACCGUGUACGUACAAGCAGUGGGAGCACGCUUAGGCGUGUGACUGCGUACCUUUUGUAUAAUGGGUCAGCGACUUAUAUUCUGUAGCAAGGUUAACCGAAUAGGGGAGCCGAAGGGAAACCGAGUCUUAACUGGGCGUUAAGUUGCAGGGUAUAGACCCGAAACCCGGUGAUCUAGCCAUGGGCAGGUUGAAGGUUGGGUAACACUAACUGGAGGACCGAACCGACUAAUGUUGAAAAAUUAGCGGAUGACUUGUGGCUGGGGGUGAAAGGCCAAUCAAACCGGGAGAUAGCUGGUUCUCCCCGAAAGCUAUUUAGGUAGCGCCUCGUGAAUUCAUCUCCGGGGGUAGAGCACUGUUUCGGCAAGGGGGUCAUCCCGACUUACCAACCCGAUGCAAACUGCGAAUACCGGAGAAUGUUAUCACGGGAGACACACGGCGGGUGCUAACGUCCGUCGUGAAGAGGGAAACAACCCAGACCGCCAGCUAAGGUCCCAAAGUCAUGGUUAAGUGGGAAACGAUGUGGGAAGGCCCAGACAGCCAGGAUGUUGGCUUAGAAGCAGCCAUCAUUUAAAGAAAGCGUAAUAGCUCACUGGUCGAGUCGGCCUGCGCGGAAGAUGUAACGGGGCUAAACCAUGCACCGAAGCUGCGGCAGCGACGCUUAUGCGUUGUUGGGUAGGGGAGCGUUCUGUAAGCCUGCGAAGGUGUGCUGUGAGGCAUGCUGGAGGUAUCAGAAGUGCGAAUGCUGACAUAAGUAACGAUAAAGCGGGUGAAAAGCCCGCUCGCCGGAAGACCAAGGGUUCCUGUCCAACGUUAAUCGGGGCAGGGUGAGUCGACCCCUAAGGCGAGGCCGAAAGGCGUAGUCGAUGGGAAACAGGUUAAUAUUCCUGUACUUGGUGUUACUGCGAAGGGGGGACGGAGAAGGCUAUGUUGGCCGGGCGACGGUUGUCCCGGUUUAAGCGUGUAGGCUGGUUUUCCAGGCAAAUCCGGAAAAUCAAGGCUGAGGCGUGAUGACGAGGCACUACGGUGCUGAAGCAACAAAUGCCCUGCUUCCAGGAAAAGCCUCUAAGCAUCAGGUAACAUCAAAUCGUACCCCAAACCGACACAGGUGGUCAGGUAGAGAAUACCAAGGCGCUUGAGAGAACUCGGGUGAAGGAACUAGGCAAAAUGGUGCCGUAACUUCGGGAGAAGGCACGCUGAUAUGUAGGUGAAGUCCCUUGCGGAUGGAGCUGAAAUCAGUCGAAGAUACCAGCUGGCUGCAACUGUUUAUUAAAAACACAGCACUGUGCAAACACGAAAGUGGACGUAUACGGUGUGACGCCUGCCCGGUGCCGGAAGGUUAAUUGAUGGGGUCAGCGCAAGCGAAGCUCUUGAUCGAAGCCCCGGUAAACGGCGGCCGUAACUAUAACGGUCCUAAGGUAGCGAAAUUCCUUGUCGGGUAAGUUCCGACCUGCACGAAUGGCGUAAUGAUGGCCAGGCUGUCUCCACCCGAGACUCAGUGAAAUUGAACUCGCUGUGAAGAUGCAGUGUACCCGCGGCAAGACGGAAAGACCCCGUGAACCUUUACUAUAGCUUGACACUGAACAUUGAGCCUUGAUGUGUAGGAUAGGUGGGAGGCUUUGAAGUGUGGACGCCAGUCUGCAUGGAGCCGGCCUUGAAAUACCACCCUUUAAUGUUUGAUGUUCUAACGUGGACCCGUGAUCCGGGUUGCGGACAGUGUCUGGUGGGUAGUUUGACUGGGGCGGUCUCCUCCUAAAGAGUAACGGAGGAGCACGAAGGUUGGCUAAUCCUGGUCGGACAUCAGGAGGUUAGUGCAAUGGCAUAAGCCAGCUUGACUGCGAGCGUGACGGCGCGAGCAGGUGCGAAAGCAGGUCAUAGUGAUCCGGUGGUUCUGAAUGGAAGGGCCAUCGCUCAACGGAUAAAAGGUACUCCGGGGAUAACAGGCUGAUACCGCCCAAGAGUUCAUAUCGACGGCGGUGUUUGGCACCUCGAUGUCGGCUCAUCACAUCCUGGGGCUGAAGUAGGUCCCAAGGGUAUGGCUGUUCGCCAUUUAAAGUGGUACGCGAGCUGGGUUUAGAACGUCGUGAGACAGUUCGGUCCCUAUCUGCCGUGGGCGCUGGAGAACUGAGGGGGGCUGCUCCUAGUACGAGAGGACCGGAGUGGACGCAUCACUGGUGUUCGGGUUGUCAUGCCAAUGGCACUGCCCGGUAGCUAAAUGCGGAAGAGAUAAGUGCUGAAAGCAUCUAAGCACGAAACUUGCCCCGAGAUGAGUUCUCCCUGACCCUUUAAGGGUCCUGAAGGAACGUUGAAGACGACGACGUUGAUAGGCCGGGUGUGUAAGCGCAGCGAUGCGUUGAGCUAACCGGUACUAAUGAACCGUGAGGCUUAACC
rnacentral:rRNA from 1 species